GGGAUGAGCCCAGCACCGAAUCCCCCGGCAUGCAGCCGGUGGGAAAUGUGGUGUGUGGGACGCCAACUGUCGUCCGCGCUGGAGACCGAAGUCCUCCUGAUCGGGGCCUCUCCCACAGCGGGUGUCAGGCCUUUACCGGUCUCUGGCCGGGCGGCUGCGAGCGUCUCAGGAGUCGGGUUGUUUGGGAAUGCAGCCCAAAGCGGGUGGUAAACUCCAUCUAAG
rnacentral:rRNA from 1 species